rnacentral:rRNA from 1 species
AGUCGAACGAGGUGGCCCACAGAAUUUGAUAGAAACUUUGAGAGCUUGCUCGAGAAGUGGAAAGAGAAGGACGUGGAAUUUCCACCUAGUGGCAAACGGGUGAGUAACACGUGGGUUACCUACCUCUUAGAUGGGGAUACCAAUUGGAAACGAUUGUUAAUACCGAAUGUGAUCUACGGAUUAAAGGAAGCCUUUAAAGCUUCGCUAAGAGAUGGGCCUGCGGUGCAUUAGAUAGUUGGUGGGGUAAGAGCCUACCAAGUCAACGAUGCAUAGCUGAACUGAGAGGUUGAUCGGCCACACUGGGACUGAGACACGGCCCAGACUCCUACGGGAGACAGCAGUUAGGAAUAUUCGUCAAUGGGGGAAACCCUGAACGAGCAAUGCCGCGUGAACGAUGACGGUCCUCUGGAUUGUAAAGUUCUGUUGUUUGGGAAGAACGGCUCUAAUAGGAAAUGAUUAGAGAUUGACUGUACCAUUCAAGAAAGCCACGGCUAACUACGUGCCAGCAGCCGCGGUAAUACGUAGGUGGCGAGCGUUAUCCGGAUUUAUUGGGCGUAAAGCGUCCGCAGCCGGUUUAUUAAGUAUAGAAUAAAACUUCGGGGCUCAACCCCGUCUCGUUCUAUAAACUGAUAGACUAGAGUGUGGUAGAGGCAAGUGGAAUUUCUAGUGUAGCGGUAGAAUGCGUAGAUAUUAGAAGGAACACCAGUGGCGAAGGCGACUUGCUGGGCCAUCACUGACGGUCAGGGACGAAAGCGCGGGGAGCGAAUAGGAUUAGAUACCCUAGUAGUCCACGCCGUAAACGAUGAGCACUAAGUGUCGGGCAACCGGUGCUGAAGUUAACACAUUAAGUGCUC